GACGAACGCUGGCGGCGUGCUUAACACAUGCAAGUCGAACGGUGAUGCUCCAGCUUGCUGGUGUGGAUCAGUGGCGAACGGGUGAGUAACACGUGAGCAUCCUGCCCCAGACUCUGGAAUAAGCGCUGGAAACGGCGUCUAAUACUGGAUACGAAACUGGCCCGCAUGGGCAUGGUUUGGAAAGUUUUUCGGUUUGGGAUGGGCUCGCGGCCUAUCAGCUUGUUGGUGAGGUAAUGGCUCACCAAGGCGACGACGGGUAGCCGGCCUGAGAGGGCGACCGGCCACACUGGGACUGAGACACGGCCCAGACUCCUACGGGAGGCAGCAGUGGGGAAUAUUGCACAAUGGGCGAAAGCCUGAUGCAGCGACGCCGCGUGAGGGAUGACGGCCUUCGGGUUGUAAACCUCUUUCAGCAGGGAAGAAGCGAAAGUGACGGUACCUGCAGAAGAAGCACCGGCUAACUACGUG
rnacentral:rRNA from 1 species